rnacentral:rRNA from 1 species
GAAUAUUGGACAAUGGGCGCAAGCCUGAUCCAGCCAUGCCGCGUGCAGGAUGACGGUCCUAUGGAUUGUAAACUGCUUUUAUACAGGAAGAAACACCUCUACGUGUAGAGACUUGACGGUACUGUAAGAAUAAGGAUCGGCUAACUCCGUGCCAGCAGCCGCGGUAAUACGGGGGAUCCAAGCGUUAUCCGGAAUCAUUGGGUUUAAAGGGUCCGUAGGCGGUCAGGUAAGUCAGUGGUGAAAGCCCAUCGCUCAACGGUGGAACGGCCAUUGAUACUGCUUGACUUGAAUUAUUAGGAAGUAACUAGAAUAUGUAGUGUAGCGGUGAAAUGCUUAGAGAUUACAUGGAAUACCAAUUGCGAAGGCAGGUUACUACUAAUGGAUUGACGCUGAUGGACGAAAGCGUGGGUAGCGAACAGG